rnacentral:rRNA from 1 species
UCCUUGGACGAGGAUCCAUUGGAGGGCAAGUCUGGUGCCAGCAGCCGCGGUAAUUCCAGCUCCAAUAGCGUAUAUUAAAGUUGCUGCGGUUAAAAAGCUCGUAGUUGGACUUUCUAGAUCCAUUUCGUGGGUGAGUCGCUCUUUGUACUAGCGUCUUGCGCGGUUCCUCGAUGAUGUCGUUUGGCGAAUUCUCUAGGUUUCGGCUUCACGGUCGAUUUCUCGGAGGUUCCCGGCGUUUCAGAAUCUUGCGGGCGGCGAGGCGUUGUCUUAGAGUAUAGCUCGUCCGCGUUUGGUACAAUUAAAAUUUUGUCGGCUCGCUCGGAGUGCUCUUCACCGAGUGUUCCAGGGUGGCUGACACGUUCACUUUGAAAAAAUUAGAGUGCUUAAAGCGGGCUUAUUUACGGCCUGAAUGUCUGUGCAUGGAAUGAAGUAACAGGACCUCGAUUCUGUUGUUUUUGUCGGUUUUAAUGAACCGAGGUAAUGAUUAAAAGGGACAGACGGUGGCAUUAGUAUUGCGGCGCUAGAGGUGAAAUUCUUGGACCGUCGCAAGACUAACUACUGCGAAAGCAUUUGCCGAGAAUGUUUUCAUUAAUCAAGAACGAAAGUUAGAGGAUCGAAGGCGAUCAGAUACCGCCCUAGUUCUAACCCUAAACUAUGCUAACUAGCGAUCCGCCGGAGUCAUUCCCACGACCCGGCGGGAAGCCCCAGGGAAACCAAAGUCUUUGAGUUCCGGGGGAAGUAUGGUUGCAAAUCUGAAACUUAAAGGAAUUGACGGAAGGGCACCACCAGGAGUGGAGCCUGCGGCUUAAUUUGACUCAACACGGGAAACCUCACCAGGCCCGGACAUCAUAAGGAUUGACAGGUUGAGAGCUCUUUCUCGAUUUGAUGGGUGGUGGUGCAUGGCCGUUCUUAGUUGGUGGAGUGAUCUGUCUGGUUGAUUCCGAUAACGAACGAGACUCUACCCUACUAACUAGUCGGCGGAUCGUAACCCUGAGAUGGUUAGUAUGUAUAGGAGAGUUUUGCGUAGGGGGAGACCGUUAUCGAUAAGCUCAUAUCCGUUCAUUAGCUAUUAGCGAAGGGUGCGGUGUGAGUGGACGGUUCCGGUUCUUCGCCGAAGCGACUCUCUCUGAUUACUACUACUGCUGGGGGCGUCCGUCGCAAUGUAUCUUCUUAGAGGGAUCAGCGGCGUAUAGCCGCACGAGAAAGAGCAAUAACAGGUCUGUGAUGCCCUUAGAUGUUCUGGGCCGCACGCGCGCUACAAUGUAGGGCUCANCGUGCUUUCCCUCUCCKAAAGGAGCGGGUAACCCGUUGAAACCCCUACCCGAUUGGGAUUGGGGAUUGCAAUUAUUUCCCAUAAACGAGGAAUUCCCAGUAAGCGCGAAUCAUUAAUUCGCGCUGAUUACGUCCCUGCCCUUUGUACACACCGCCCGUCGCUACUACCGAUUGAAUGAUUCAGUGAGGGCAUCGGACUGGCCCUUCGGUUUAGUAACCUAGACCUUAGGCUGACGGAAAGAUGUCCGAACUUGAUCAUUUAGAG